rnacentral:rRNA from 1 species
AUUGAACGCUGGCGGCAUGCUUUACACAUGCAAGUCGAACGAGUGGCGAACGGGUGAGUAAUAUAUCGGAAAGUACCGAGUAAUGGGGGAUAACCAAUCGAAAGAUUGGCUAAUACCGCAUAUUAUUCAACCGGCCGUUAACUGAUUAGCUAGUUGGUGGGGUAAAGGCCUACCAAGGCGAGUAUCAGUAGCGGGUCUGAGAUGACGAUCCGCCACACUGGGACUGAGACACGGCCCAGACUCCUACGGGAGGCAGCAUUGGGGAAUUUUGGACCAUUGGGGCAACCCUGAUCCCGCCAUGCCGCGUGUAUGAAGAAGGCCUUCGGGUUGUAAAGUACUUUUGUUAGGGAAGCGGUACCUAAAGAAUAAGCACCGGCUAACUACGUGCCAGCCGCCGCGGUAAUAC